GUCGGACCAUAAGGAUUUAUUGUUUGCAGCCUUAUCAUGUAAGUCUUGGCUGAUUUGAUGACAGUUUGCAAUGGCUCAACCAUAGUGAAUGCAUGACUUGCAAGUCUCACAUCUUCAACUUCAUAACUCACUGUAAAUUUAUUUGAAUAUUUCUUAUAUUGAAUUUCAAGGUGAACGUAGGCAUGUCGAGCAUUUCAUUUUAACGAUAUGAAGAAAGUAAGCUAGAGCCAAGUACACGAGGUUAUGCUGGCUGUAUGGAUCAACAUUUUGAUACGUGGACGCGUGAAUUUGAGUGCAACAUCUACAUCCAGCAUGCUGUUGCUUCAAAUAUGAGGAGGACUUUAUAGAGAAAUCCCUAAUGACCAAUCCUUGCCCGAGUUGCUAACGAUCCACUACAAGGGAUGUUGGCUUAAUCCGAGGGAAAUAAUGCAGAUGCUUUGCCGAAUUAUUAUGAAGCUAUGUGACUAGAAAUUGAUCCUUAUAUUAGAACCAUUGGAAGGUGACUAUAACACCCGAGUUAAUGAUAGAAGGCAAGAACACUUUUGGGCCAAUUCUCAUUAAUUUAUCAUGGUUGAAGGGCUCGGAGCCCUGGAGUAACUAGUAAAGUUGCUACCAUGUGACCAGAAGGUGAUGGGUUCAAGCCUCGGAAACAGCCUCCUCCAAAAAUGCAAGAUCAGAAUGGAGAUUGAAAUAUCAUGUUGGGAGCCUCGCCCUCAGAAAUGAGCUUUCCAAAUGCGAAGAUACAUAUUUUGUCAGGAUCUCAAUACGCAUAUCAAACAUCGGAUGAGAAACUAAAUAGAGCAACAUGAACAAGGGUGAUUAAUAAUUAAUAUAGGGCAACAUGAUUAGGGAUAAUUUAUAUAAGUCAAUUUGAAUUUUUUUUGUAUUCAAUUUAUAUAUUGAGGUAAUUCAUAUGGUUGCACAUGGGGCUAUAUACACCAAAUGGCAUUUAUGCAUAGUACAUGUUGCAAAUAAAUUUUUCGAAAAGAUAGGUCUAUUGUUUUCGUUUCAGUUUAUGUAACAUUUUUUUUUAUUAAAACAUAAAAAAUAGCUCGACCAAAAAAAAAAAAACUUUUUGAAUGGGAAUUUUGGGAAAUUAAUCCUUUUCAAGUUAUGCAUAUUUGAUAUAGUUUGUGAGUUUUACGAUAUAUAUAGCUAGGCUGAAUAUAACCUGAAGUCCUAUCGAUUUAUUAUGAGUGACAUUGCCAUAUUUGUCACGUCGCUUUACCAUCUCUAUUGCUCAACUUAUACGUAGCGCGAAAAUAUAAGAUUUUUUUUACACAUUUGGCUCCGCUCCUCAGCAAAAAUAAUUACAAUCGCUAGCCAAUAUAUAAAAUGUAUGUUUGUUGACUAUUAUUUGGAUAAUCAUUUGUGCAAAAUCUCCCAAACACAAACAUGCAUAUUAACCAAAGCUAUAAGGAUUAGUUUGGGAUGAGGUAUAAGGUAUAAUAAUUUCGGGAUAAAAUUUCAGGAUUAUUUAUUCUGCAUUUGGUUGGAGGAAUUAGUUAGUUUUAGACGUAUUUAUACUAUAGUGAUGAAAUAAGUUAUUAUAUAUACAUGGUGGGAUAAUUAGUCCUGAGAUUACUUAUCUCAGGAUAACUUGUUACCAAUCAAACGACCCCUAAGUAUUGAGGCAAACAACGUAAAUUCCGACAGUUUGGAGCUUAAUUACAGAAAAUUUUGAUAUUUUACAGAAUUAUUGAAAAUUCUGAUUUUGGGUUUGUCAAUAUACAUAAUUAGCUAUUGAUACAUCAAGCACUUCAGGUACAUUUUUUUUCUUUCAAAAGAUACAUAAUUAGUUUCAGAUACAUUUUUUUCGAUUUUGAAUUUGUCAAGACACAAAAUUAGUUUCUUUAUACAUCCAGCAAAGAUAUAUAAUUAGUUGGGAUUUUUGUAAUUACUUUGUAAAGGUGGAAAUUUGUGUAAAUAUGGUAAGUUGAGAUGUAUAUUUAUGUUAUUUUUCCAAGUAUUAGUACUCCCACUAGUUUGUUCAAUUCAGUGAAAUUAGAAGCUUGGCCCAUUAUGAUUAAGCCCAGAAACACUGCAGCCCAGGCCCAUGCCAGUGGAAAAGCCCAACAAGCAAGCCAAUUUCUCCCACAUCGUCUGCAGAAAGCUUCUUUAUUGAGUUUAUAUAGCAGAGCAUUGAAGUGUAUGCUCGUCCCUUCGGGGACAUCCGAUAAAAUUGGAACGAUACAGAGAAGAUUAGCAUGGCCCCUGCGCAAGGAUGACACGCACAAAUCGAGAAAUGGUCCAAAUUUUUU